UUUCCCACAACCCCCUGUGUGAAGUAAUUGGCAACAAAUUGUUAUGCUGGUAAAUUUUAUCGCCUAACCUGACACUUUAGUACAAAGGGAAACUUCAAAUAUAUGAGCUUGUAUGUUUUCUAUUCUUCUGGGCUAUUAGGAAUUCUGAUUAUGAGGCUCUGAAUAAAAGUUGCGUUUCUUUCAAUAAACUAAUUUAAAGGAUCAAAUUGCUAAUUAAGCCAUUAGGGACUGGAUGAGUUCUGUACUGCCGAACUCCCCAAAGGCGAGAAGAAGAACCCUUUGUUUUAUUGUGAACUCAGUGUAUUAUUAAACUUGUUUAUCGAACUUCUAAAGACAAGUUCUCCAAAGACAAAGCGGAGGAGAUUUCGGUCGGGUGGGGGUUGGGGAGAAGGGGGUAUCUUGGGGAACGCGAUUGCAUUCGUUAUGGACAUCGUGGAAAGACAAAUGCAGAUGUUGCUCCCCCGGCCUCCACAGCAGAUCCUGCCCGCCGUGCUCUUCAUCAACACCAGGUCAGCGUCGCCGCAGGAGGCUACAAGUCACCAGGACUGGCGUGGGAGACGGCCAGCACCAUGAGGCGCAACGUGUGUUCCCCUGCGUGUGCCUGGGCCCCGGGUCUGGGGUUCUGGGUUUUGGGGUUCUGGGUCUGGGGUUCUGGGUCUGGAGUUCUGGUUCUAGAG